rnacentral:rRNA from 1 species
AGUGGCGAACGGGUGAGUAACACGUGAGCAACCUGCCCCUGACUCUGGGAUAAGCGCUGGAAACGGCGUCUAAUACUGGAUAUGUGACGUGACCGCAUGGUCUGCGUCUGGAAAGAAUUUCGGUUGGGGAUGGGCUCGCGGCCUAUCAGCUUGUUGGUGAGGUAAUGGCUCACCAAGGCGUCGACGGGUAGCCGGCCUGAGAGGGUGACCGGCCACACUGGGACUGAGACACGGCCCAGACUCCUACGGGAGGCAGCAGUGGGGAAUAUUGCACAAUGGGCGCAAGCCUGAUGCAGCAACGCCGCGUGAGGGAUGACGGCCUUCGGGUUGUAAACCUCUUUUAGCAGGGAAGAAGCGAAAGUGACGGUACCUGCAGAAAAAGCGCCGGCUAACUACGUGCCAGCAGCCGCGGUAAUACGUAGGGCGCAAGCGUUAUCCGGAAUUAUUGGGCGUAAAGAGCUCGUAGGCGGUUUGUCGCGUCUGCUGUGAAAUCCCGAGGCUCAACCUCGGGCCUGCAGUGGGUACGGGCAGACUAGAGUGCGGUAGGGGAGAUUGGAAUUCCUGGUGUAGCGGUGGAAUGCGCAGAUAUCAGGAGGAACACCGAUGGCGAAGGCAGAUCUCUGGGCCGUAACUGACGCUGAGGAGCGAAAGGGUGGGGAGCAAACAGGCUUAGAUACCCUGGUAGUCCACCCCGUAAACGUUGGGAACUAGUUGUGGGGUCCAUUCCACGGAUUCCGUGACGCAGCUAACGCAUUAAGUUCCCCGCCUGGGGGAGUACGGCCGCAAGGCUAAAACUCAAAGGAAUUGACGGGGACCCGCACAAGCGGCGGAGCAUGCGGAUUAAUUCGAUGCAACGCGAAGAACCUUACCAAGGCUUGACAUAU